rnacentral:piRNA from 1 species
GGCUUUGGCGCCAGAGUAAUGAGGCCGUA